UUUAUUUCUUCACGGAGAUCAUGGGCCAAAGUUUCAUUCAUAUUAAUCUUCUCAUCAUCAUCGAGUUACCAUCACCUCACGCCAUCACGAUAAGAGGGGUUCAUAACCGUUGCCUGAUGCCUUCACAGAAGUAAAUUGUCGUAUACAAUACAAACAGUACCAUGGCCUGAAUGAUAGAGAAACACAAAGUGAACAAUUGUAUAUCCUUAAUGCAUAUAUAGAUACUAAAACAUGAAGGUAUGGGGUAUGGCAGUCCACGUGAACUAACUACCUGGCCCAUAGCCAACAUAUAGCGUAAUCUCUUGGUGGCAUAUGGAUGUAGGAGUAACAAAACAAAGAAGAACACCUAAAGAAAGUAAAUAAGUAGACACCUAUUUCUUCCGAGAAAAUGUACAUGCUAUCACACAACAUGAUCAUGCUUAUGUAUUGAAUAUCAAGAAGGAAGAGACCACCAUAUGCCAGUGCAGAGGUAAGGGCCACCGGGACACAUAGCGAGUCAGGUGAGGUGCUCUUCCUGAGGUCCUACUGGUCUGCCGGAGGCACAAGGCGAACCACUAGGAGACAUGGCGAGCCAGCCGACGUGCUGUUCCUAGAGUCCUUCUGGACUGUGGAAGGCAUAGAUGGUGACAGGAUUCUCGUCUGGCAUGGUGGAAUUGAUCAGUAUGACGACAUCAAAUCCAGAACUCCCAGCCCGUAUGUCUCUCCCCUCUCCUGCAAUUGGCAAAGCAAUAAGUUAUCGAUCAAUAUCUAUGGACACAGCUGCAUGAGGGACAACAAGGUACAACAGAAAAAACACAUCAAUCAGUAUGCUUGUACAGUACACAGUACACACACCUUCGCAAACAUUAUAUUCUCUUUUGAUAUUUGAUUUCUACCACGUAAUAAGCACCGUCAUUCAUCUUUCAAAGUCCUGGUUGUUAAUUUUGCAUCAUGUGUGUGGUAAUCUGGAUUCAGCAAAACUCUGAAUCCUUUCUUGAUAAUCUCAGUGUUAUCAACUUAUCAUAAAGAACCUGACAGAAAAAAGGUUGCCACGGGACAAAUCAAGAAACCUAUUGCCCCAGUUUUAAAUCAAGCAACAACCAACUCACCUUAUAUAUUGAGUACACAACCAGAACCAUCAUCCUUGCACAUAGAGGAGAAGGACAUCAUGAUUUCUCAUCAGUCCCGUCUGGGCUUCGACUGCAUAUAAGAAAGCGUUACACGGGGUGGGCCGCUGCUCCAGUAACAAAUUCGUUGAUCUGCUAUUCAUUUAGCCUGACUUAGCCUUUAAUGUGUUCCUAGCUCUCACCCUUAUUACAUCUCUGACCGGCCAC
rnacentral:lncRNA from 1 species